rnacentral:SRP_RNA from 1 species
CUAUGCUACACGGGGAGCUAGCGGUGCCCUGUACCUGCAACCCGCUACAGCAGGGUGGAAAGCAGGGCUGAGGGUCUGACCCGGUUUGUCUUCUGGCAAUAUCCGGGCGAUGACGUUUACAGACCUGUUCAAUGGAGGGUUGAUGAACCCCGUCAGGCCCGGGAGGGAGCAGCGGUAGUCAACUGCUCCAUGUGUUACAGGUAUCUGUAAGCCAGCCUUUGGAUUUGCCAGAGGAUAAGUGCGGGGGAUUCGAAGCCCUGCUGCAUAG